ACUACUAUAUAUUGAUUUCAAAUGCAACGCCGUAGAUAGUAUUAGUCAAACAAACAAUUAAAUUAAAGUAAACGUUUUGAUGUAGUCAUACGAAAUUGCCAAAAACAUUAAAAAAAUUUUGGUUUUUGCCUUGAAUGACCCAACAGACCAACAUGAUGCUCUUUCCUCCUCGGCCACCAGAAACGUUUGGGCGGCUCUCAACGUCAGCGAUCCCUACCUUUCUUCAUGUGUGGACCUUCUCCGAUCCUUCUUAUAUUGUUAUACAUAAAUUUAAAUAUUAUAAACGAUAUGCCUAUGUGAUUUAGUGUGAUUAGAUUUAGGGUUUAUAAUAUAAGUUCUUAUAAAUAUUGAGAAGAGUACUGCAUUUCUGUUUUCACCACAAAACUAUGUGCGAUUAAAACGAUGUGCUAGCUGGAGUUCAAUGUUUUAAUUCACAAUUUACGAGACUCCUUUACUGCUUUCUGUUCUGCAUUCUCUGUUGCUUCUCGUUAAUAAUUCUUCUGAGAUCAUGCCUACACUUGCAC